ACAGCAGCCGCCGCGGGAAAACGAAGGGGGCUAGCGUUGCUCGGAAUGACUGGGCGUAAAGGGCGCGUAGGCGGCGAUCAAAGUCAGGCGUGAAAUUCCUGGGCUCAACCUGGGGGCUGCGCUUGAUACUUGGUUGCUUGAGUGGGGAAGAGGGUCGUGGAGUUCCCAGUGUAGAGGUGAAAUUCGUAGAUAUUCGCAAGAACACCAGUGGCGAAGGCGGCUUACUGGCUCGAAACUGACGCUGAGGCGCGAAAGCGUGGGGAGCAAACAGGAUUAGAUACCCCCGUAGUCCCUGUCUCUUAUAC
rnacentral:rRNA from 1 species